CUGUUUGUUGUGAUUUGGCGCUAUAUAAAAAAAAAUGAAUAAAAUUGAGGGGAGGUGAUGCUCUAGUGGUAGCAUUGGGUUUGAGACCAGGGGAUCCUCGGUUCAAAUCCCAGUCUGACCGGAAAAUCACUAAGGGCCCUUGGGCAAGGUCCUUAAUCCCCUAGUUGCUCCCGGUGUGUAGUGAACGCCUUGU